rnacentral:tRNA from 2 species
GGGCGUGUCGCUGAUGGGGGUGUCGCCGCUGCUGGCGGCGGUCAACAACGACGCGCCGUUCAAGACCGCGCGCGAGCUC